rnacentral:lncRNA from 1 species
UAAUCAGAAACAAAACUAAAUUUAUUUGCCUGCCUGGGAAGGGAAGGUCACAUCACUGAAGCACAAAUUUGGCUGUUGUCUCCAUGUCCUACUUGAAAGAAGCAGCAGGCAAAGGAGAAAGCACACCAAAUUUGGUGACAUACUGAAUUCAGGUCACUGCUUAGCUCCGAAGGCCAUGCAUAAACUCUUCUCUACAACUGGUCAUUGCACUCGUUCGCCUCUUAAAAGUGCAGGCACCAUUCCCAAUUAUGUCCAGGCUGCUCUGAUGGACUUGGUGUCACUUAGGAAAUUCGACGUGUUUGCUUGAAGUUGGUCAAAUCUUUAACAGCAUCGGUAGCACAUUAGUAAAAGGGUUCAUCAAGUAAGAUUCACUGGAUACCUGUCUCUUUACUGAUGUCUUUUGGAAUGCCAGAUCAAAUCUCCUUCUAUUUUGUUAAGGCAAAAAACAGAGAAAUGUACAUGUGUACCUAGAAAAACUAAUAUUACAUAGGGUACCCUUCAAGGUUUUAACAGAGCAAAAUAUGAGGUGCUAGAACAGAUGCUUGUACAUGAAAGUUGACAGCAGCUCUAUGCACAGCGCCCAAAAGGUAGAAACAACCCAAGUGUCCAUCAUCAGAAUAAACAAAAAUGUGCUAUAUACAAACAAUGGAAUGUUAUCGAACCACAGAAAGGAAUGAAUUAGCAAUACAUUUUACGACAUGGAAGAACUUCAAAAACAUUAUGCCGAGUGAAAGAGGCCAGACACAAAAGAUCACAUACUGUAUGACUACAUUUACAGGAAAUAUUUAGGUAAAUCCAUAGAAACAGAAAGCAAAUUGGUGGUUGCCAGAGGCUGGGAGUGUGAAGAUGUCACGCUAGUGCUUAAUGGGUACAGAGAUUGCUUGGUGGGUGAUGAAAAUGUUUUGGAAACAGAAGGGGUAGUUGUACAACAUCAUGAAUGUACUAAAUGCCACUUUACAAUUGUACUUUACAAUGGUUGGUUGUUCUGUGAUUACCCCUUAGUUGUUAAAAAAGAAAAAAGAAAGGGAAGACAAAGGGGCACAAAAGUUCAUGGUUCUUUGAGUCUCACUGGAACAAGGGAAAAAAUGAGGGAGCAGAAACAGCUGAACAACUGAUGAUGAUGCAUCAACAAAGAGAAAAAGACAAAGAAAAAGACGGGGGUUCUACUUAAGAAACAAGGCUACAGAUAUUUGAAAAGCAAACCAAUAAAAUGGAUUUUCAAAUGUUUCACUAAAUGUUUCUUGCAAACAACCUACAAAAAAUGUAAAUGAUUUUAUAAAGAGAGCACACAAAACAUCCAAAAAGGGACUGUGGUGGGGUCGGGGGAGGGGGGAGGGAUAGCAUUGGGAGAUAUACCUAAUGCUAGAUGACACGUUAGUGGGUGCAGCGCACCAGCAUGGCACAUGUAUACAUAUGUAACUAACCUGCACAAUGUGCACAUGUACCCUAAAACUUAG